rnacentral:rRNA from 1 species
CCCAGACUCCUACGGGAGGCAGCAGUGGGGGAUAUUGCACAAUGGGGGAAACCCUGAUGCAGCGACGCCGCGUGAGUGAAGAAGUAAUUCGUUACGUAAAGCUCUAUCAGCAGGGAAGAAAAUGACGGUACCUGACUAAGAAGCCCCGGCUAAAUACGUGCCAGCAGCCGCGGUAAUACGUAUGGUGCAAGCGUUAUCCGGAUUUACUGGGUGUAAAGGGAGCGCAGGCGGCGCGUUAAGCCUGGUGUGAAAGCCCGCGGCCCAACCGCGGGACUGCAUUGGGAACUGGCGCGCUGGAGUGCCGGAGGGGUAGGCGGAAUUCCUAGUGUAGCGGUGAAAUGCGUAGAUAUUAGGAGGAACACCAGUGGCGAAGGCGGCCCACUGGACGGUGACUGACGCUGAGGCUCGAAAGCGUGGGGAGCAAACAGGAUUAGAUACCCCUGUAGA